CAGAACCAGACCCUCCUCUCUCCCCAGCCUCCCUGAUGGGCCAUCAGCGAGGAAUGCAGUCUGGCGAGCUAAUUCCUUUCUGUGCUGAUGCUGGUGUGACAGUUCCAAAUAAAUGUACUGUAAACAAAAGAAAGUGGUUUCCUAACAACAGGAUCCAUGUGAAUUCUUUCUGAAGAUCUUCAUACCCCAGUCAAACUUCCUUCAACAUGGCAAGCUGACUGUGAGAGGGAAAUCAAAAUUAAAGAGAUUCAAACACCACUGAAAAAGGAAGAUUGAACGGAUUAAAUGAAAUGCAGCAGGAAGGUCAAGCGUUUAUAUUCACAUCACUUCAAGUGUUGCAAUGUAAGAGACAGCAAUGAGAAACAUUUGGGAAAAAUAAAAAAGGAAUCUCACCCAGCUUGUGAAAUAGGGUACAAGGAUUUCCAUGUGACAAGAUAAGAAAAACCUGCCUUAGUUAACAAAGACAGAAGUACUGAUGCAGAAAAGACUAAAUCACCAGUUUUAUCACGUCACCAGAAGCAGGAAGGAAGUCAUAAGAAAGAAGAUGUGAAUCCAAAACACCCAUAAGUAUCCCAAGGUAGUGGAAAAAGAAUUUAGGGAAUCUGAAAGAGAAAUAAAUUGUCUGUCUUUUCUUUCUUCUUAUUUUUCUUGAAUUGUCAGUAGUAUGUUUGCCAACGGAAGAAAAAAAGGGCAAAAAUGAAAUCAGGUUUCAUAUUUUCUCACCAAAAUCCUCUGUUUUCAUCCUAGAUAUAUUUACAGUUAUGCUGUCCUACAUGAUCUUCAUUGCUCUGUUUUGCAAUUCAAAACAAACUGCUGAAAAUAGCAAAAGACUGAUUUUUGCAAGUAAGAAAACCAGUUAUUGUUUUAAUUUUAGUGGGUUUUUACCCAUG